GGUGGCUGUGUGAACUUGGACUGGAUGGAAAGCAGAAACCAUGUUCCCACCGGUUUCUGGAUUUAUGCUUAAGCAUUGGCCUUCACUUCCCCUCGAGCCUGACUCCAUCUGAUUCCAGAGGAUGUCUGACCAUCAGUUCCCUAAUGAGCUUGCUACACUCUCUGCUGCAGACCGCCGCCAUCUUGUUACUGCUUGUGCUGCAGGUCUGCCCGCCUCAGCUGCACUCAAACACCAAAUCGUCAAACCCAGCCUCAAGUGUUCGCCAGCGUCUCUCUCUCUCCUGCCACGGUUGUUUUGUUCUAUGUAAUCCCACCUUUUCAUAACUUCAUCAAAACACUUU